UCAUGAGCCGCUGGCACAACAGGUCGUUCAUUUGAGACUGUCACAGAGACAGAGAAGUUGCACAAAAAUGCACAAGUUUAGUAAAGGGAUUUAGUCUUUGGGUUAACACGAAACCCCUUGUUUCUUUAAAAAGGCAAUGAGAACAGCCAAAAGAGCGACUUUUAAGGUAUCUCACAGCAUAUUUGAAUUUUCAUCCUGAGUUUCACCAUGUCCAGCAAAGUUUUGGGCUGUCUGAGUACACUGACAUUGAGAGUAAAACAGUUAGGUCAGUUACCACGCCUUUCAAACUGGUUACCCUCUCUCCCAUUACCUCAGGCCACCGUGCUUGCCUCUGAUGUGCCCAGCCUUUUCCGCGAGCCAUACAUCCUUUCUGGCUACCGACCUGUGAAUCAGGAAUGGCGGAGCUACUUCUGUAGCCUCUUCCAACGCCACAAUGAGUCGCUCAAUGUGUGGACACACCUGCUGGCAAUCCCUGCGGUUCUACUCCGCUUUUCUUUCUUCGCAGGUGCGUGGGGGCUGACUGUGAAUGCGGCCUCUUUGCCUUUGCUUUUGUACGUGCUCUCCUCGCUUACCUACCUUAGCUGCAGCGUGGCCGCCCAUCUGCUGCAGUCACACUCUGAGCUGGCCCAUUACUCCCUAUUCUUCCUGGACUAUGUUGGAGUAGCAGUUUACCAAUAUGGUUGUGCAUUAGGCCUUUAUUUUUACUGUUCUGAGCAUGCAUGGCGACAAAGCCCGGUGGGUGCUGUGUUCCUACCCGGUGCUGCUGUGCUAGCCUGGGUGUCCGUUGCCAGCUGCUGCUUUGCCAAAUUCCAUUACCGUCGCCCAUACCCCCUCUGUAGGAAGAUCUGUCAGAUCAUUCCAACGAGCCUGGCAUACAUGCUCGACAUCAGCCCUGUAGCGCAUCGCCUGGCAACCAGAUCUUGGGAGGAGCCGGUGUUAAUGUUCCAUGCCCUUCAAAUUGUGUUCUUCAUGUUAGCAGCACUGUUUUUCUCUUGCCCUAUUCCAGAGCGCUUCUUUCCAGGAAGAUUUGAUAUUGUGGGCCAUGGCCAUCAGAUCUUCCACAUCUUCCUGGCCAUGUGUACUCUGUGCCAGCUGGAAGCACUGUUUAAAGACUUUCUGGUGCACCAGCAGUCUGUAUUAGAGGUGCAUGGAGAACACUUUAUCUUACUUGCUGGAGGGUCUUUCUUUGUCUUGGUUUUGUGCAGUGUUCUGACUGCAAUUCUUAUGAGAGGUGCAGUGCAGAAGCAGCUAAAGAAAAAAGUAUCUGACUAAAAAAAAUAUAGAAAGUAUUUAACAAUGAAGUUCUGCUUAGUUAUACAGCACCAACCAGAGGUAUUUAAUAAUAUAUAAAUUUUAAGUUUACUAAAAAAUAGUAAUCCACUACAAAUGACUAAUUAUUUCUCUAAAAAAUACUUUUUGGGGGAAAGUAAUUACAUUAAUAUUUACUUUACUUUUAUGUUACUUUCUAACACAAUUUUUCCACUCAACAAAGUCAAACUAAUGUCUAUAUUUCUUUCAUGUUCAUUGUUUCACACAAGUCAUACACUUAGCACAUCACAUUUCUUCUUCACAAUGACUCGUUACAGGGCCAUAAUUCAUGUAUUCUACAUAAAUAAUACAUUAGAAAUAAGCAUAACCCUAUAAUGUACUUAAAAGCAAUAAAAUUAAUUGAAAGUCAGUAACUGUAAACUGAUUACAAGAAUUUCAAAUGUAAUGCAAUACAUUAUUUGACUAAAAAUGUAUUAAAUUACAGUAACUUAUUGCUUUGUAAUUGAAUUACACCCUGUAAAUGUAUUAUUCAUUGUUAGUUCAUGUUAACUAACUUAGUUAACUAAUAGUAGCGAAUACAACCUUAUUGUAAAAUGGCACCAGAAAUAUAAUAAAUAUUGAAAAAAUAAAUAGGCCUAUUAAUAAAUCAUAAACUGUGUUCAGACAUCAUCAUAUCCAGAUCUGAACAGAAUAAUUUAUUUUUGUGCAGUUUGUUUAUUAUGAGUAAUGUGAUGGGAUAAAGUAUUUUUAUUUAUUUAUUUAUUUUGACAUGCAAAGUCCUGUUAUAAUCACAUUUUGAAAUCCCAGAUAUCAGAUAUGCCUUAGGGAAGCAUUUUAUUGUUUAACUAUCAAAUACUUUUACAAAUCAUAUCAAGCACAGAUACUGAGUGGGUUUUCCCCACAAAUGAACUCACUGUUCAAGGCAGGAUAGUGAACCACUUCGCCAACAUUCCUCUGAGAUCCAGUACUGUAUGGGUUUGCAUAAAUGGCCUAUUUACUUGAAAACUGUUUAGAGUCUGGGACAAUAUGUUAGGCUUUGUCAAAGCAAAAACAUUCAAAUUAAGGGGUAAAGCUGAGUUUGGCCCCAACUGGAAUGAGGAAGGGUGGAUGAGGGGAACAAAGUAGUUAGAGUUGUUUUAGAUUCUCUUGAACAAAUGAAGUACUGCGAUGCUUUUAAUGUAUGCUUUUUUUUUUUUAUCUUUCUCUGUAUGAAUUCUUAUUCACUGUAUUUGAUUCCUCAUAUCAAAUCAUUUCUACCUCGUUGUGGUAGAAAUAUCAGUUUGAACCCUGUGUUUUAACAAAAGGUUCUUUAGGUACCUUUGUAUUUUCAAUGUGUUUACAGUAAAUUACUAAUGUUCUUACAAAUGUUUGGUGAGUUUUGCAUAUUUAUAUUCAUUUCCUCAGAUCAGUUCUCAUGAACCUUAGUUGCCUUAAUGAUUAUUUUGCCACAAUUGUCUUUUAGUCAAAUUAUAAUAUAAAAUAUUAUAUUAUUUAUAGAUUUAAGCUGUCUAAAGAAUGAGAUCCUGAAGUAUCUUUUGAAAAUGUACUUUGUCGCCUAUAAUAUCAAGGCUAAUAAGCAGGUUAAAGAAUUAACUGAGACUAAUUAACUUUGUAAUAAUAAUAACGUUACAUUUAUUACUUUGUUUACUGUAUCAGACCGGAUGUUUUCUUGAAAGGGUCAACCACAUUAUCAACAUAUAGUUCCAAAAAUGUGAGACCGCACUGAAAAUCUAGGAUUUGUUUUCUUUUUACUUAAAUGAGGAAAUAAAACAGUAAAUAAACCUGGAAACUUGUAAACCAAAGAAAAGUUUUGUGGAAAAUGUAAAAAAGAAUAAUUAUAUUUAUAGCAUUUAUAGCAUUAUGUGCAUUAUUUAUAGCUCACUAAUUGAACAAGCAAAUUUGUGACACUGACCAAGUUAACUUGUUCCUUGCAUCCAUUGAAUCUUACAAGAUGCUCUUUGAAACAUGCUGGGAUAACAUAAAGCAUCAGGUUUUGACAGCUUAAUACUGCAUAGCAUAAGGUGGGCAUACCAAAUACUAAAAAUUCUAAAAUUCAUAUACAUUUUUCAAUUCAAAGAUUACAUUUGAAAAUAAUGCAAAAUAGAAGCAAUUUCACUAGUGGUCUAAGAUGUUUGGACUCCACUGUGUGUCAUGCCUCUAAAAUACAUGAGGAGGCAGCAGUGUUCCAUUCAAAAGCUGAUCAGUUGUUUAGUUUAAUUAGGUAUCAUUAAAAACAAAAAGAGUCAUACAGAUAUAAAAUAUGAAUUUAAAUGGUACUUUUUAAAUAAAACUUUAAUAUUUGAAGUUAAUCACAUUGACAAGAAAAAUGCGAGAGAGGUGAAUUCUUUAGAGGGAGAUAAGAAUUAGGCAUUGUAGAGGUUGGAAUGCAGAAUGAGGAAGUUUGUGACUCAGUGUCCCAGUUGGAUCAGUGUGUUUGUGGAGAGCAAUGACACACAGUAUAGGCAAGAUGAUGACAGGUUAUCUACUUUUAUUAUGUAACUGAUGUAAAAGAAACUGGAUGAAGACUUAUGGCUCCUGUUGAGGAGGGAGUUAUAACCUGGUUAUCAGGUUGUUCUUCCUCCCUACAUAUUACCAUUGUGUCUGCCCUCUUCAUCAUCACUUACAUCACACUCUACAGUCUUUGCGCAAGAUGUUUCAGUGCCAGUGAAUCCCCCAUGCAUUUCCACAGACGAGAGAAAAGGAAUAGUCCAACUGCAUUUCCACAAAAUGAAGUACCUACUGAGCAGUUCAACAGAAAUGUAAACAAGUUUGAACAUGGUCAUUCACAUUUCAACCAGGAACUCAUUCCCAUCCCCUCUCAAAUUCCUGGAGAUUCGAUGGGAACAUCAACUCCUCUAUGUGUUAAAAUCCCACCACUUCCUUCCCUCCCAUCGGAUCCCAUGGCUCACCUUGAGCCUCUGAGACGUUCAUUUCAUCAACAGGACAGUGGGAAUGUUACAUCCCAGAGUUAUGACAACUCCCUUUGCAGUAUUCCAGCUGCAAAGUAUCUAACAGAUCACAUACACUCUCUUAUGGAAUUUGAAUUGAAUGAAGAAAAUCCUUAUGAGUGCAUUAGGGAACCUCUAAGUGACAAAGCUGAUGGGGAGAGUGAGAGCCCUUCCCCAGCAAUGGCAAAGCUGCUGGAGCCUGCUGUUAAUCACUCAGUCACAGCCCUCAACAAUCUAGUAAACAACCAGGCAGUGGGGCAGCCUCUCAUUUCUCAAACUCAUAGUGACCAAUAUUUGACUAGCACAGAACCAACUGUUGUUUACGCUGCAGUGAACUGGAAAACCAAAAGUCAAAAGAACACAGAAGCUCUGUUUCAUACAGACGCUGUGGUUGAUAUGGCUGAUAUUGCUGAGGAAGCUGUCCCUCCCAUUCCAGACAAACAUUUCUAGUAUCAUGAAAAGGCACCAUUGUGAUUCAUAAUAUUGAUGUAUUUCUUACUUUUCACCAGUUUUGUAUUUUGUUUUACCAACUGUACUUGCAUGUUACAUAACAUGUAAUAAAUAUCAGUUCUAACAUGCAACUUUUUGUUAAACAGUAUAAAUCAAGACCUCUCCGCCUGGGUUAUUCUAGGUCAAUGUAGAGUCACAUGACACAAUACCCAGACUGGAUUCAGAGACUGAAACCCAUCAUGCCUGUGCUGUCCAGACCUGAAAUCCCCUUUGGAGUCGGCCGACAGAAGAAAGCUUAUAAUCCCCAGACAUUACAUGACGGACGUUUUCUUCCAAACGUCUGUUUGCGAAUAAACAAUAAUUACGGAAUAUUUAGGAAAUAGCCAAAAUAAGGAUGGUAAAAUUAUGUAGGUGAACAGUGACACAUCAUGGAAAUGUCGCAGGCAGUCAUCUAAAGUGGAAAUUUAGAUUUUUAUUUUGUUUAUUUUUAUUAAUCUGCAAUAAAACAAACAUUUAUGAAU